GAGAAAAUUAUUAAUAUUUUGACCUUCCCCGCUCUGUCUCGCUUCUCAUAUCCUUCUGCACACUUUUGUACACUUUUCCACACUUACCCACGUCACCCUGCACACUUAAACACGUUAUUAUGCCCCGAGUUCAAGUGUUCUGAAGACUUAACUGAUGCAAACUUUCCCUUCGUGUAUCGUUUUCUCCUUUCGUUAAUACUUAAUAGCAUAACCUGAUCUUAUAUGUCUCCCCUUAUCUGUUAUUUUGAGCGUGUUUUUACCAGUGAACUUGCUCUAUUUAUCCGUCGUCAAGUUCUAAGGUUGUCGUGUAUUAAAGUUCCAACACUAUGAUGACGUCACGGCCUCCAUCUUCCCCGCGGUCUGUUGAGGGUGGCGACACAGCGCUGUAUUUUUCUUGUUUUUUCAGGUUAUUAUAAAGUGCCAGGAAGCGCCAUGGUGUGGGAAGACAUAAGAAGAAGAGGAGGAAGAACAAGAGGAGGAGGAGGAGGAGGAUGAAUGGGACAAACAGGAAUCAAAUGAUACUGCCAGAAGAAGAAGAGGAGGAGGAAGAGGAUACAGAGGAAUCAGUUGUUGUUUCUUCUCUCCGUCUGUUGGUUCCUCCCAUGGAGGUAUAAUGGCUGCUGGAGUCCACAUCACCGGAAUCUCAGCUUCCAUUAAUUAUGUGGAGCAAUAUAUUAGCCACACACUCUCAACCCCUCUCGCUUCCUCUGCAGCCGCCACCACCCCAUAGGCCAGUUUCACAUGGAAAACUAUAGCAUCGAUCGGCGCCAUUGGUAACGAUCAAAACAAAGGAUCCCUAAGUGCCGAAAGUCUGUCAUAAGCAGCCUGAAUUUACUAAUUCACCCUAAAGUAACCUUACUCUGUCUUGAAUGACCCUAAACUAAUGUAAUUCACUCUCAUCUUACCUAAAACUACAGUUGAAUUACCCUAAACUUGCCUUAAAAUAAUCCCCUAAACGUAAUUCACUCCAAGGUAACCUGAAUCUGACCUAUCCUGACCUUACCUUAA